rnacentral:rRNA from 1 species
UUGACUGGGGCGGUCUCCUCCCAAAGAGUAACGGAGGAGCACGAAGGUGGGCUAAUCACGGUUGGACAUCGUGAGGUUAGUGCAAUGGCAUAAGCCCGCUUGACUGCGAGAAUGACAAUUCGAGCAGGUGCGAAAGCAGGUCAUAGUGAUCCGGUGGUUCUGAAUGGAAGGGCCAUCGCUCAACGGAUAAAAGGUACUCCGGGGAUAACAGGCUGAUACCGCCCAAGAGUUCAUAUCGACGGCGGUGUUUGGCACCUCGAUGUCGGCUCAUCACAUCCUGGGGCUGAAGUCGGUCCCAAGGGUAUGGCUGUUCGCCAUUUAAAGUGGUACGCGAGCUGGGUUUAGAACGUCGUGAGACAGUUCGGUCCCUAUCUGCCGUGGGCGUUGGAAGAUUGAAGGGGGCUGCUCCUAGUACGAGAGGACCGGAGUGGACGAACCUCUGGUGUUCGGGUUGUGUCGCCAGACGCAUUGCCCGGUAGCUAAGUUCGGAAUCGAUAACCGCUGAAAGCAUCUAAGCGGGAAGCGAGCCCUGAGAUGAGUCUUCCCUGAUACUUUAAGUAUCCUAAAGGGUUGUCGGAGACUACGACGUUGAUAGGUCAGGUGUGUAAGUGCUGUGAGGCAUUGAGCUAACUGAUACUAAUUGCCCGUGAGGCUUAACCAUACAACACCCA